AGGAUGACGAGACCCAAAAUAUUGAACGAUGAUAUAACCUGUCUCGGCUGAUC
rnacentral:misc_RNA from 1 species